UCUUCCGCAAUGGACGAAAGUCUGACGGAGCAACGCCGCGUGAGUGAUGAAGGCUUUCGGGUCGUAAAACUUUGUUGUUAGGGAAGAACAAGUGCUAGUUGAAUAAGCUGGCACCUUGACGGUACCUAACCAGAAAGCCACGGCUAACUACGUGCCAGCAGCCGCGGUAAUACGUAGGUGGCAAGCGUUAUCCGGAAUUAUUGGGCGUAAAGCGUGCGCAGGUGGUUUCUUAAGUCUGAUGUGAAAGCCCACGGCUCAACCGUGGAGGGUCAUUGGACACUGGGAGACUUGAGUGCAGAAGAGGAAAGUGGAAUUCCAUGUGUAGCGGUGAAAUGCGUAGAGAUAUGGAGGAACACCAGUGGCGAAGGCGACUUUCUGGUCUGUAACUGACACUGAGGCGCGAAAGCGUGAGGAGCAA
rnacentral:rRNA from 1 species